rnacentral:rRNA from 1 species
AUUGAACGCUGGCGGAAUGCUUUACACAUGCAAGUCGAACGGCAGCACGGACUUCGGUCUGGUGGCGAGUGGCGAACGGGUGAGUAAUGUAUCGGAACGUGCCCAGUCGUGGGGGAUAACGUAGUGAAAAUUACGCUAAUACCGCAUACGAUCUAUGGAUGAAAGCGGGGGAUCGCAAGACCUCGCGCGAUUGGAGCGGCCGAUGUCAGAUUAGGUAGUUGGUGGGGUAAAGGCACACCAAGCCAACGAUCUGUAGCUGGUCUGAGAGAACGACCAGCCAAACUGGAACUGAGACACGGUCCAGACUCCUACGGGAGGCAGAAGUGGGGAAUUUUGGACAAUGGGCGAAAGCCUGAUCCAGCCAUUCCGCGUGCAGGAUGAAGGCCCUCGGGUUGUAAACUGCUUUUGUACAGAACGAAAAGGUUUCUACUAAUACUAGGAGCUCAUGACGGUACUGUAAGAAUAAGCACCGGCUAACUACGUGCCAGCCGCCGCGGUAA